rnacentral:lncRNA from 1 species
ACCGAAGACGUGUGUUGGCGCUAGAAAUCGGUCAACCGAAUCCCAGCGUCCGACACACGACCCGGGAGAAUCUGCUUAGCUCCUGUUCGGGUGAAUGCCCUGGUGCGGUUCGCGCGGCGUGCCAGCCAAUCUGACCUGUUGAUUGGCAAGGAAGAAUACGUGUCAGGUCCAGAAAUCACGAUCGGCUAAGUUUCCGAUCUCGAGAGAGCUUAUCAGUGAAUCGGCCGAUUUACUGUAACAAAGAAAUCGGCUAUUAGGC